UACGGAGGGGGCGAGCGUUAUUCGGAAUUAUUGGGCGUAAAGCGCACGUAGGCGGAUUGCUAAGUCAGGGGUGAAAUCCUGGAGCUCAACUCCAGAACUGCCUUUGAUACUGGCGACCUUGAGUCCGGGAGAGGUGAGUGGAACUGCGAGUGUAGAGGUGAAAUUCGCAGAUAUUCGCAAGAACACCAGUGGCGAAGGCGGCUCACUGGCCCGGUACUGACGCUGAGGUGCGAAAGCGUGGGGAGCAAACAGG
rnacentral:rRNA from 1 species